rnacentral:snRNA from 1 species
AUACUUACCAGGCAGGGGAGAUUCUAUGAUCAUGAAGGUGGUUUUCCCAGGGCAAGGCUUAUCCACUACACCUCUCAGGUGUAGCUAUGGCAUUUGUCCAUUUACCAUCAAAAUAGGACAGGGGACUGCAAGAA